rnacentral:rRNA from 1 species
AUGCACGCUGGCGGCGUGCCUAAUCCAUGCAAGUCGAGCGAACGGACGAGAAGCUUGCUUUUCUGAUGUUAGCGGCGGACGGGUGAGUAACACGUGGAUAACCUACCUAUAAGACUGGGAUAACUUCGGGAAACCGGAGCUAAUACCGGAUAAUAUUUUGAACCGCAUGGUUCAAAAGUGAAAGACGGUCUUGCUGUCACUUAUAGAUGGAUCCGCGCUGCAUUAGCUAGUUGGUAAGGUAACGGCUUACCAAGGCAACGAUGCAUAGCCGACCUGAGAGGGUGAUCGGCCACACUGGAACUGAGACACGGUCCAGACUCCUACGGGAGGCAGCAGUAGGGAAUCUUCCGCAAUGGGCGAAAGCCUGACGGAGCAACGCCGCGUGAGUGAUGAAGGUCUUCGGAUCGUAAAACUCUGUUAUUAGGGAAGAACAUAUGUGUAAGUAACUGUGCACAUCUUGACGGUACCUAAUCAGAAAGCCACGGCUAACUACGUG